GCGAACGGCGUGCAGGCGGCGGCGGGAAUACGAGGGGUGCAAACGGGGCUCGGAAUCAUUGGGCUUAAAGCGCACGUAGGCGGCUUCUCAAGUUGGAUGGGAAAUCCCUCGGCGCAACCGAGGACGUGCAUCCAAAACUGCGAGGCUUGAGUACUGAAGAGGAUCGCGGAAUUCCCGGUGUAGAGGUGAAAUUCGUAGAUAUCGGGAGGAACACCAGUGGCGAAGGCGGCGAUCUGGGCAGAUACUGACGCUGAGGUGCGAAAGCGUGGGGAGCAAACAGGAUUAGAUACCCCGGUAGUC
rnacentral:rRNA from 1 species